GCAGUCGACGGGAUCCAGAUCAAAGCUUGCUUUGGUUUGGUGAGAGUGGCGCACGGGUGCGUAACGCGUGAGCAACCUACCCUUGUCAGGGGGAUAGCCCGGCGAAAGUCGGAUUAAUACCGCAUGACAUCAUUGAGAGGCAUCUUUCGAUGAUCAAAGAUUUAUCGGACAAGGAUGGGCUCGCGUGACAUUAGCUAGUUGGUAAGGUAACGGCUUACCAAGGCUACGAUGUCUAGGGGCUCUGAGAGGAGAAUCCCCCACACUGGUACUGAGACACGGACCAGACUCCUACGGGAGGCAGCAGUAAGGAAUAUUGGUCAAUGGACGGAAGUCUGAACCAGCCAUGCCGCGUGCAGGAAGACGGCCCUAUGGGUUGUAAACUGCUUUUGUACGGGAACAAACGUCGGUACGUGUACCGGUCUGAGUGUACCGUAAGAAUAAGGAUCGGCUAACUCCGUGCCAGCAGCCGCGGUAAUACGGAGGAUCCGAGCGUUAUCCGGAAUUAUUGGGUUUAAAGGGUGCGUAGGUGGCCAAAUAAGUCAGGGGUGAAAGACGGCAGCUCAACUGUCGCAGUGCCUUUGAUACUGUUUGGCUUGAAUUCGGUUGAAGAUGGCGGAAUGAGACAAGUAGCGGUGAAAUGCAUAGAUAUGUCUCAGAACACCGAUUGCGAAGCAGCUAUCUAAUCCGUAUUGACGCUGAUGCACGAAGCGUGGUAGCAAACAGAUAGAUACCUGUAGUCACGCCUAAC
rnacentral:rRNA from 1 species